UCCGCCCUACGGGGGGCAGCAGUGAGGAAUAUUGGUCAAUGGGCGCGAGCCUGAACCAGCCAAGUCGCGUGAGGGAAGACGGUCCUAUGGAUUGUAAACCUCUUUUGUCGGGGAGCAAAAGACGCCACGCGUGGCGUUCCGAGAGUACCCGAAGAAAAAGCAACGGCUAACUCCGUGCCAGCAGCCGCGGUAAUACGGAGGAUGCGAGCGUUAUCCGGAUUUAUUGGGUUUAAAGGGUGCGCAGGCGGAAGAUCACGUCAGCGGUAAAAUUGAGAGGCUCAACCUCCUC
rnacentral:rRNA from 1 species